CGACCAUUCAAAACAUUACGCACAGCAUCGCGGCCGGACCACGCUAGACUACUCGACUGAAAUAAUUUUUCGCCGAGCCCGGAGAGCGGAGACAAUGCGGACAAACUCCAUUGCAGUCACAGGUGCUGGAGCAUCUAGAACAAUCCAGGUAAAGUGCUGGCAAGACAAAAGUCUACAUGGCGGAUGAGCACCACCACCAUCAUCAUCACCACCUCCACUUCCACCCUGCUCUACGCUUUUAGCCUCUUUACAGUGCUGCCUUGUCUUAUCAUGUUCAAGCAGCAUUGUACAGGGCUAUGACAGCGUAGAGAGUUGAGCUGCUCGGCCGCUGCGUUUCCCGGACCCCCUGGAUAGCUGCCAGCAAAUGACAUCAUCCGUUUAAACUGCAUGUGACCUGCACGAAUUGUUGGCAAUAGAGUGACUCCUCUAUUAAUUCUCAUGCUGAUGCAGUCAGACACUGAAAUGUUCUGCUUUUUACGGUGAAAGAAAAAAAACGGAACACACUAAGUUCUCCUUGGGUUGAAUUAUUCAAUGCAAACCUACAUCCUUUAGCAGCCAAUACAUUAUUGAACCAAUUAGUUACACUGCACUGUGCUACUUCUGGAUCAGCCUCAGUUUGUGCAUCUCAUGUAUGAGCAUUACAUUUGAAUCACAGAGUUACGAAUCCCCAAAAAUAAAAACCUGGCUAUUUCUGACAGUUUGGUGUGAACGCUUACCGCUGCUCUCCUUCACAGAGGGAUUAUUUUUCAGAUCAUCAGUGUGUAGCUCUGUGACUUGAAUGUUCAUGAGCACCACAAACUGGGGCUGAGUGGGCCACUGAAUAUGAUUGUAUGUUCCUAUAUGUUGAGAGACCAGAAAUGUGUAAUGUAUUAUUAAAACAUUUGAAAUGAA